UCCAGACUCCUACGGGAGGCAGCAGUGAGGAAUAUUGGUCAAUGGGCGGAAGCCUGAACCAGCCAAGUCGCGUGAGGGAAGAAGGCCCUGCGGGUCGCAGACCUCUUUGGACGGGGAGCAAGGCCGCCGACGUGUCGGCGGAAGGAGAGUACCCGUAGAACAAGCAUCGGCUAACUACGUGCCAGCAGCCGCGGUAAUACGUAGGGGGCAAGCGUUAUCCGGAUUUACUGGGUGUAAAGGGAGCGUAGACGGCAUGGCAAGUCAGAUGUGAAAGCCCGGGGCUCAACCCCGGGACUGCAUUUGAAACUGUCAGGCUGGAGUGCAGGAGAGGUAAGUGGAAUUCCUAGUGUAGCGGUGAAAUGCGUAGAUAUUAGGAGGAACACCAGUGGCGAAGGCGGCUUACUGGACUGUAACUGACGUUGAGGCUCGAAAGCGUGGGGAGCAAACAGGAUUAGAUACCCGAGUAU
rnacentral:rRNA from 1 species